rnacentral:rRNA from 1 species
AACGAACGCUGGCGGCAGGCUUAACACAUGCAAGUCGAACGCAUCGCAAGAUGCGUGGCAGACGGGUGAGUAACGCGUGGGAACAUACCCUUUUCUACGGAAUAGCUCUGGGAAACUGGAAUUAAUACAGUAUACGCACUACGCGGGAAAGUUUUAUCGGGGAAGGAUUGGACGGCGUUGAUUUAGCUAGUUGGUGGGGUAAAGGCCUACUAAGGCGACGAUCCAUAGCUGGUCUGAGAGAAUGAUCAGACACAUUGAGACUGAGACACGGCCCAAACUCCUACGGGAGGCAGCAGUGGGGAAUAUUGGACAGUGGGCGCAAGCCUGAUGCAGCCAUGCCUCGUGAGUGAUGAAGGCCUUAGGGUUGUAAAGCUCUUUCACCGAUGAAGAGAAUGACGGUAGUCGGAGAAGAAGCCCCGGCUAACUUCGUGCCAGCCGCCGCGGUAAGAC